CACACCCCCUCUCCCAGGCCGCAGCAUAGCAACCGAACAUGGCGGCUGCGCAGGCGCCGCCAGUCAGCGGCCGGGAGCGGCGGCGGCAGCAACAGGAGGCGAUCUCGCGAGAAGCGAGGCUAAAACCCUGCCCCGCCAGCGCAGGGAGGAGAAGUCGCACCAGUCGGAGAGCGGAGGGACACGCAGCCUGCCCUUGACUGUGCUUUGGGAGAAUAAGAGCAAAGGUUGUAUCCACACUUGGAGGAUGUCGGCAGGCGAGGACUGGCCGUUUUGCACUGUGUGGUCAAUGGUAGGACCUCUCUUAACCCUGGGUAGCUACAGCCAGAAGGGAACAGGCAUUUGUUCUUGCCUGUAUGGGCCUUGGCAGUGACCCCAGGCAGCAGCAGUGGAGAAGCAGCUUUGACUAGGCACUGUGGCUGACUCACCAGCACCCACUAUCAGUAACUGGAGAAGACCCCUUUGGAAGAAAUGAGUAACAGUGGGAUCACUGGGGAUAUCUAGAGAGAAGAACCUCAAGGGAAGGUUGGACUCUACUCGCUAGGUAGAGCUCAGAGUGGUAUGAAUUUUAACUUCCAAAAGCACAUGACUUAAACUGACUUGAUUUUGUUGUCUACGCUGGUGAGGCGGGACAUACAAGGUGUACAGGCUUUCAGUCAAAUGUGAGUCCUGUCUAACCUGGCCCCCAACAGGAGACCUUGGUUAGGUACCUGUCUGCCUUAGCUAGUCAAUUAAGGGAGAAUUUCAUCAUUUUUCCCUGCCUGGAAUCUUCAUGCAUAACUUAAAAGCAAAAACAAGCAAAUUUAAAGAAUUGAAACCUUUAAAGAGGUGGCACAUGUUUCCAGUAAGUUCAGGAUUCUGUGGCUUGGGCUUCCUUUAAUCACAGAGCUGUGUUAAAUAUACUUAAAACAUUAAAAAUCCUAUACCAUAUACCUCGGAGGCAGUUGGCCCAGAUUUGUCACCAUGUCAGCAUGGCUCUCUCCCUCUUCAUUUUCAGCAAUUCUUUCCUUUUUUCCCUAUAUUGCUGAAUAGCAGCAGAAGACCUGUUAGCAAUCCUGGUAUCAGGAACUCUACAAAAAAAGUGUAAAAUUUCAAAAAUCUAAGACUGCCUCCUACUCUCAGUCCCACUCUCAAAAGGUAGGCACUAUUGACAGUUCUUGCGUACCCUUCCAGAAUUUUCUCUGAAUGUAUAAGCUAAAUCUAUAUCUCUUUUCCCUGCACACAAGGGAUCAUACCGUGUUUCACUUACAAAUGUGUGUGGAAAUCAUUCCUUAACAAAACAUAUGGAUACAUGUCAUUCUAAGGGCUGAGCCAUAAUGUGUUUAACUUUCUCUAAUUAAUGGGCAUCGGACUGUUUCUAGUAAUUUACUGUU
rnacentral:lncRNA from 1 species